GGAGAGGUGGCCGAGCGGUUGAAGGCGCACGCUUGGAAGGCGUGUGGUGGCCCAAAGCUACUCCAGGGUUCGAAUCCCUGCCUCUCCG
rnacentral:tRNA from 1 species